CGGGUCGUAGCCAAUACGUCCAGCGGCAGACGGGUGAGUAACGCGUGGGAACGUACCUUUUGGUUCGGAACAACACAGGGAAACUUGUGCUAAUACCGGAUAAGCCCUUACGGGGAAAGAUUUAUCGCCGAAAGAUCGGCCCGCGUCUGAUUAACUAGUUGGUAGGGUAACGGCCUACCAAGGCGACGAUCAGUAGCUGGUCUGAGAGGAUGAUCAGCCACAUUGGGACUGAGACACGGCCCAAACUCCUACGGGAGGCAGCAGUGGGGAAUAUUGGACAAUGGGGGCAACCCUGAUCCANCCAUGCCGCGUGAGUGAUGAAGGCCCUAGGGUUGUAAAGCUCUUUUGUGCGGGAAGAUAAUGACNGUNCCGCAAGAAUAAGCCCCGGCUAACUUCGUGCCA
rnacentral:rRNA from 1 species